rnacentral:rRNA from 1 species
AUUGAACGCUGGCGGCAGGCCUAACACAUGCAAGUCGAACGAGUGGCGGACGGGUGAGUAAUGUCUGGGAAACUGGCUGAUGGAGGGGGAUAACUACUGGAAACGGUAGCUAAUACCGCAUACCAUCGGAUGUGCCCAGGUGGGAUUAGCUAGUUGGUGGGGUAAAGGCUCACCAAGGCGACGCUCCCUAGCUGGUCUGAGAGGAUGACCAGCCACACUGGGACUGAGACACGGUCCAGACUCCUACGGGAGGCAGCAGUGGGGAAUAUUGCGCAAUGGGCGCAAGCCUGAUGCAGCCAUGCCGCGUGAAUGAAGAAGGCCUUCGGGUUGUAAAGUACUUUCGGCAGGGAGGCGUUACCUACAGAAGAAGCACCGGCUAACUCCGUGCCAGCAGCCGCGGUAAUAC